rnacentral:misc_RNA from 1 species
UCUCCGUAGGUGAACCUGCGGAGGGAUCAUUACAGAGUUCCAGCCCUAACGGGUAGAUCUCCCGCCUUAUGUUAUUAUCACUUUGUUGCUUUGGCGGGCCGUCAGUCCUCCGCUUGGCUACCGGCUCUCGCUGGUAAGCGCCCACCAGAAAACCCCAUACCCUGAAUAUCAGUAUCGUCUGAGUACUAUAUAAUAGUUAAAACUUUCAACAACGGAUCUCUUGGUUCUG